GAUGAACGCUGGCGGCGUGCUUAACACAUGCAAGUCGAACGGAAAGGCCCAAGUUUGCUUGGGUACUCGAGUGGCGAACGGGUGAGUAACACGUGGGUGAUCUGCCCUGCACUUCGGGAUAAGCCUGGGAAACUGGGUCUAAUACCGGAUAGGACCACUUCUUGGAUGUUGUGGUGGAAAGUUUUUCGGUGUGGGAUGAGCUCGCGGCCUAUCAGCUUGUUGGUGGGGUAAUGGCCUACCAAGGCGUCGACGGGUAGCCGGCCUGAGAGGGUGUACGGCCACAUUGGGACUGAGAGACGGCGCAGACUCCUACGGGAGGCAGCAGUGGGGAAUAUUGGGCAAAAGGGGCAAGCCUGAUGCGGCGACGCCGCGUGGGGGAUGACGGCCUUCGGGUUGUAAACUCCUUUUGCUAGGGACGAAGCUUAUUGUGUGACGGUACCUGGAGAAGAAGCACCGGCUAACUACGUG
rnacentral:rRNA from 1 species